rnacentral:lncRNA from 1 species
UUUAGAUUUGAAAUGAAUCGCCGUCUUAUCGCUUAGGUGGCGUUAGCGGUCGCAAUUGAUCACGUCUAAAAGAAAAUAUUUUCUCUUUCUUUUUUCUGAUAAUGAAGCAAAAGGGUUAAUUGACAGCAUACACACGAGGAUGACAGAGAGACCGGAAGACCUAGAAAAAUAUGCUUUUAUUUCAAUAAAAUAACAAUGUCGGGAGAAUAAACGAUGCCGAUAGAUAAA